CACGUAGGCGGCGUGGCAAGUCAGGGGUGAAAGCCCUCGGCUUAACCGAGGAAUUGCCUCUGAAACUGCCAUGCUAGAGUCCGGGAGGGGGAAGUGGAAUUCCAGGUGUAGCGGUGAAAUGCGUAGAUAUCUGGAGGAACACUCAUGGCGAAGGCAGCUUCCUGGACCGGUACUGACGCUGAGGUGCGAAAGCGUGGGGAGCAAACA
rnacentral:rRNA from 1 species